ACACUCCUACGGGAGGCAGCAGUGGGGAAUUUUGGACAAUGGGCGAAAGCCUGAUCCAGCAAUGCCGCGUGAGUGAAGAAGGCCUUCGGAUUGUAAAGCUCUUUUGUCAGGGAAGAAACGGUGAGAGCUAAUAUCUUUUGCUAAUGACGGUACCUGAAGAAUAAGCACCGGCUAACUGCGUGCCAGCAGCCGCGGUAAUACGUAGGGUGCAAGCGUUAAUCGGAAUUACUGGGCGUAAAGCGUGCGCAGGCGGUUUUGUAAGUCUGAUGUGAAAUCCCCGGGCUCAACCUGGGAAUUGCAUUGGAGACUGCAAGGCUAGAAUCUGGCAGAGGGGGGUAGAAUUCCACGUGUAGCAGUGAAAUGCGUAGAUAUGUGGAGGAACACCGAUGGCGAAGGCAGCCCCCUGGGUCAAGAUUGACGCUCAUGCACGAAAGCGUGGGGAGCAAACAGGAUUAGAUACCCGUGUAGUCCCAUG
rnacentral:rRNA from 1 species